rnacentral:rRNA from 1 species
UACGUAGGGUGCAAGCGUUGUCCGGAAUUAUUGGGCGUAAAGGGCUCGUAGGCGGUUCGUCACGUCGGGAGUGAAAACUCGGAGCUUAACUCCGAGCCUGCUUCCGAUACGGGCAGACUAGAGGUAGGCAGGGGAGAGCGGAACUCCUGGUGUAGCGGUGGAAUGCGCAGAUAUCAGGAAGAACACCGGUGGCGAAGGCGGCUCUCUGGGCCUUACCUGACGCUGAGGAGCGAAAGCGUGGGGAGCAAACAGG